rnacentral:rRNA from 1 species
UUAAAAAGCCCACUCUUUGUGGCAGUCCCCGCUUACAUCCUCGUCUGAUCUCGGAAACUAAGCAGGGUCGGGCCUGGUUAGUACUUGGCUGGGAGACCUCCUGGGAAUGCCUGGUGCUGUAAG